AGGUUAGAGGCUAGGCGGGGUUAGGAGAUUAGGGGUUAGAGGCUAGGAGAGGUUAGGAGAUUAGGGGUUAGAGGCUAGGAGAGGUUAGGGGUUAGGAGAGGUUAGAGGCUAGGAGAGGUUAGGGGUUAGAGGAGAGGUUAGAGGUUAGGGUUAGGGGAGGUUAGAGGAGAGGUUAGGGGUUAGGAGAGGUUAGGGGAGGUUAGAGGCUAGGAGAGGUUAGGGGCUAGGAGAGGUUAGAGGUUAGGGGAGGUUAGAGGCUAGGAGAGGUUAGGGGUUAGAGGCUAGGAGCCUGUUUUUGAUUGAGAGACGGACCAACAUUUUAAAAUGACUUGUGAAUAAUAUAAAUCCCUUUCUUUGAAGAUGUCAAUGUGCAUGUUAAUAAAUACCUGUCCACUGAU